UACGAAGGGGGCGAGCGUUGUUCGGAAUUACUGGGCGUAAAGGGCGCGCAGGCGGCCCUUGAAGUCAGGCGUGAAAGCCCCGGGCUCAACCUGGGAGGUGCGCUUGAUACUCGAGGGCUUGAGUGCGGGAGAGGAGAGUGGAAUUCCCAGUGUAGAGGUGAAAUUCGUAGAUAUCGGGAGGAACACCAGUGGCGAAGGCGGUUGCCUGGAGCUUUGCUGACGCUGAGGCGCGAAAGCGUGGGGAGCGAUCCGG
rnacentral:rRNA from 1 species